ACUCCUACGGGAGGCAGCAGUGGGGAAUAUUGGACAAUGGGCGAAAGCCUGAUCCAGCAAUACCGCGUGUGUGAAGAAGGCCUUAGGGUUGUAAAGCACUUUCAAUUGGAAGGAAAAACUCAUGGCCAAUACCCAUGAGCUUGACAUUACCUUUAGAAGAAGCACCGGCUAACUCCGUGCCAGCAGCCGCGGUAAU
rnacentral:rRNA from 1 species